GUGCUCACUUUGGCAGCACAUGUUCUAAAACUGGAACGAUACAGAGAAGAUUAGCAUGGCCCCUGUGCAAGGAUGACACACAAAUUCGUGAAGCGUUCCAUAUUUUA
rnacentral:snRNA from 1 species